UGAUCUGCCCGUCUCAGCCUCCCAAACUGUUGGGAUUACAGGAGUGAGCCACUGCACCCAGCCUAUUUGCUAGGUUUUUGCUAACUUGGUUUUCAGUAAUUUCCUUAGUGGGGGUGAAAAAUAAGGAUUUUUUUUUUUUUAAAACAAAUGAAGAUAGAAAAUGGUAGGCAGUUAAGAAAAUCUUAGCUCCUGAUUAGGACAGAGUGAAGAAGGGGAGAGUCAACUGGAGGUCAGGAAGAUAAGUACAGUUUCAGUUGUUUACCUGGUGAGGAGACACCUCAGUUACAAAAGAGUAAAGAUGGGGGUGUUUCGUGGCAAGUACUAAAUGGGUUGCAUAAAGCAAUACUUCGAAAAUACAGUAAAGGGAA